rnacentral:tRNA from 1 species
GGGCUGGGGCUCAGCGGUAGAGCGCUUGCCUAGCAUGUGUGAGGCCCUGGGUUCCAUCCUCAGCACCACA